GGCUGGAGAUAACAACACGGACUGUUCGGGUCCGGACUCGGAUUGUCUGAGUGUUGAUGUGAUCCUGUUCAUCAUGUUCUUAGGGGCCGUUACUCUGGGCAUGUUCCUCUCCUGGGUCAUUCUGUGGAUCAUCAUGAGGGUCAGCAGGAAGAAGUGAGUAAGAGGUGGUCAGUAAAGGGAGGAAGACAUUGAGAGAGUGGAUCAUCAUGAGGCACCGAGAAUGUGGAGAGCUCAGUGUGAGAGAGCUCAGUAUACCACAACAUCAGAAGUGACUUGAAACUAGAGCUCAGUAGAGUUCUGACAAGGCCGACUCAGCAGGCCACAAACACACUAAACGACUAUUCGGUGAGCCUGCCAACUACAUUGUAUUUAUACAUUAUACAACUACAUUGUAUUUAUACAUUAUACAACCCAUUUUUCCGGCCAUAAGAAUGAAUAUCAGACACUGAAAGUGUCAUAACUCAUAAGGGGUCGUUCACAUAUUACGUAAUCACUUUUUGGUCAAUUUUUACCCCCCCCCGGCCCCCCUCGACUCCGUAAUCAGUUUUACACAUAAAUAUUGUAUCAAAAUAUACUAGCGUAAUCAUUUGGAAACCCCCCUCCCCCCUCGGCUGAUCACGUGAUAUGUGAACGACCCCUAAGACAGCAGUUGCUUUUACUUUUUUAAAUUCGAUGAGUAUCGAAUAUCGAUGACUGUUAACUUAGUCGAUCACUAACCAGUGCUCGAAUGUAUUUGAUUUAAGUUAUCCAAAAUUAUUGAAUGAUCGUCUUUUAUUUAAAUAUUCGUUGUUA